rnacentral:rRNA from 1 species
UACGUAGGGGGCUAGCGUUGUCCGGAAUCAUUGGGCGUAAAGCGCGUGUAGGCGGUCCGGUAAGUCCGCUGUGAAAGUCGGGGGCUCAACCCUCGAAUGCCGGUGGAUACUGUCGGGCUAGAGUGCGGAAAAGGCGAGUGGAAUUCCUGGUGUAGCGGUGAAAUGCGCAGAUAUCAGGAGGAACACCAAUUGCGAAGGCAGCUCGCUGGGACGUAACUGACGCUGAGACGCGAAAGCGUGGGGAGCAAACAGG